AGUCCCUGUUAGAACAACUGAACACAAUAAUGAAUGUCACGAGUAGACUUUCGACGCUUGGUGAAAACAAAUAAUAUUUAAGAAUAACGCGGACAGAGGAUAUCGUCUUCGAAACCUGAUUAUAGUAAAGCUGCCAUACGUGAUUGUGGCAGCUAUGAACAAUAAUAUAGUGUUUGGUACAUUUUGUUGCAAAAAAUAAUGAUUUUUGACACGAGUUCCCUUUUGAUAGAUAUGAUGAGACAAACUUUUGGUGUUUAUGUGAAAUGGCGACGUAUAAAAAUAAUAAUUAAUAAAUAAAUAUCUCACUCAACGGCACCAUGGAUUUGAAAAGAGGUUGUAAAAUGUGAAUUAUCUUCAAAUUCUUUCAAAAGGUUUCUGAACAAGGUACAAAGUCGUAAAAAAUAUUUCAAUACAAAUGUCAAGAACUUCAACAUUGAAAUUUUAAGAAUUGAAUAAUUGAUUAAACGUCGUUCUUUUCUUCAAUUUGAUCAUAUUAUAUUUGUUCUUAGAAUAUCUGACGAAAACUGUUCUAGUUUCAACUAGAACAGUUUUCGUCAGAUUGACUCAGAUUGAUUUCAA